rnacentral:lncRNA from 1 species
AUAAUAAUUAUAAAUAAUAAUACGGGGAAACUUCAAAUACCCCCACAUGGUUUCGCACUUUUGCACUUUAGUACCCUGUGGUUUAAAGUGUAUCAAGUUAGUAUCCUAUGAUUUCUCACUUUCUCACUUUAGUAUCUUGUUGUUUCAAGUGUAUCAAGUUAGUACUCUGUGGUUUUAUUUUUGUAUCAAAUUAGUACCAUGUGGUUUCAAUUUUCUCUUUUUAUUGUCCAUUUCAGGGUAUAUAAUUUAACGAAAUAUUAAAUAACAGGAUACUAAAGUGAGAAAGUGCGAAAUUACAAAGUACUAACUUGAUAUACUUGAAACCACGGAAUACUAAAGUGAGAAAGUGCGAAACCAUAGGGUACUAAUUUGAUACACUUUAAACCAUAGGGUAUUAAAGUGAGAAAGUGCAAAACCACAGGGUGGGUAUUUAAAGUUUCCCCAAAUAAUAAUGGACAGAUCAUAAAUUUAUAUAAUAAUUGAUAUCUGAAAUCUUAAAUUCAAAC